rnacentral:misc_RNA from 1 species
CGUUAAAUAAGUAAUUUCAAAGAGGUAUUAUUAUUAUUAUUGAUAAAAUUACAUUGAUCUUAAAUUCAAAAUUAAAUUAUCAAUAAAAUUGCAUCUGAGUUAGCUCAUGGGCCUUCACAAUUUCGGCUUUCCCUAACUUAGGCUUGGCUUAUUUAUUAUAGGAUCCUUAAAGUUUUAGCUUGGCGCAUUAACUGUAAUAUGAGAUCAAGUAAGCUUUUAUUGAGCCAAUACACUCAAAGCUACUCAUGAGCUGCCCAGCUAUUACAACCCUAACUGGCUUGAAUGGCAAGUUGUGAUCAUAACUUUGGAGCUUUGGAGAUCUAUAUUCCAACACAGUUGCAAAUUUUUGCAACAGCCUCAUGACUGCUAUAUCUUAUUAGCCAAUGGCCACUGAGAUCUCAACACAUAAAAUGCCUUUCUAGAUCCAUAAUAUCUGAGUUGUUGCUGAAAAUUAUACACUCGGCUUAACUAAGGCUUACAAGUCACAUGCAACAGUAGUAGUUAUACUUAAAGUUUUAGAUAGUCUUUCAAACAUUUGGCUGAAUUGGCUUAGAAAUCAUUUGUGAUCUGUGUUUGUUGUUUAUUCAAUUUGAUGUAAUAGAUGACAGCAUUGAGAUAGCCUAGAUGCCCCUCAUUAUCCAGUUGGGAGGCUAAUGGAGGCUAUAAGGUUCUAUUUCUUCGUAAAGCUCGUAAUCUUUAAAGCCUUCGCUACUGUGGGGCUGAGGAAGAAUUUAGAUAAGAUUACUCAUAAUUCAUGGUGUGCCAAGGACAAAUAGGGGAAAAGUGAAAAGUUGUAUGUGUGAAAAUA